rnacentral:lncRNA from 10 species
AAACCCAAAACAAUGAAACCUUUUCAAGGAAGUAAGGUGUUGACAUGACUGGAUUAAGAAAUACCUACAAAACUGGCAAAACAGUACUUCUGGAUGUGUCUGUGAGGGUGUUUCAAGGAGACUGAUGUGUCUCUGGACUUGGACUGGGCCAUGCUACCAGCAUCUCAGAGUUGCCAGCUUGUAGACAGCCUGUUGUGCGACUUCUCAACCUCUGUAAUCAAGUGAGCUAAUUCCCCUAACAAACCCCCUCUCAUAUGUCUAUAUCUAUCGAUAGCUCCUAUUGAUCUGCCUCUCUGUAGAACCCUGACCAAUGCACACAUGCUUAUUACAAGGUAUUGACCCUUGGCCAAUGCUGUGCAAUGGAUUAACUAAAGAUAAAGAUGUUCUAUAA